GAUGAAGAACGUAGCGAAAUGCGAUAAGUAAUGUGAAUUGCAGAAUCUAGUGAAUCAUCGAAUCUUUGAACGCACAUUGCGCCCCUCGGUAUUCCGGGGGGCAUGCCUGUCCGAGCGUCAUUGCUGCCCUCAAGCACGGCUUGUGUGUUGGGCCUCCGUCCUCCUCCCGGGGGACGGGCCCGAAAGGCAGCGGCGGCACCGCGUCCGGUCCUCGAGCGUAUGGGGCUUCGUCACCCGCUCUUGUAGGCCCGGCCGGCGCUUGCCGACACAUCAAUCUUUUUUCCAGGUUGACCUCGGAUCAGGUAGGGAUACCCGCUGAACUUAAGCAUAUCAAUAAGCGGAGGA
rnacentral:misc_RNA from 1 species